GUGCUCGCCUUGGUAGCACAUAUACUAAAACAGGAAUGAUACAGAGAAAAUUAACACGGCCCUUGUGCAAGGAUGACACGCAAAUUCAUGAAGCGUUCCAUAUUUCU